AGCGAACGCUGGCGGCAGGCCUAACACAUGCAAGUCGAGCGGCCGUAGCAAUACGGCAGCGGCAGACGGGAGAGUAACACGUGGGAACGCGCCCUUCGGUUCGGGAUAACUCAGGGAAACUUGGACUAAUACCGGAUACGCCCUUACGGGGAAAGAUUUAUUGCCGAAGGAACGGCCCGCGUCCGAUUAGCUUGUUGGUGAGGUAACGGCUCACCAAGGCGACGAUCGGAGCUGGUCUGAGAGGAUGACCAGCCUCACUGGGACUGAGACACGGCCCAGACUCCUACGGGAGGCAGCAGUGGGGAAUAUUGGACAAUGGGCGCAAGCCUGAUCCAGCCAUGCCGCGUGGGUGAUGAAGGCCCUAGGGUUGUAAAGCCCUUUCAGCGGGGAAGAUAAUGACGGUACCCGCAGAAGAAGCCCCGGCUAACUUCGUGCCAGCCGCCGCAGUAACAC
rnacentral:rRNA from 1 species